rnacentral:rRNA from 1 species
ACGAACGCUGGCGGCGUGCUUAACACAUGCCAGUCGAACGGAAAGGCCCUGCUUUUGUGGGGUGCUCGAGUGGCGAACGGGUGAGUAACACGUGAGUAACCUGCCCUUGACUUUGGGAUAACUUCAGGAAACUGGGGCUAAUACCGGAUAGGAGCUCCUGCUGCAUGGUGGGGGUUGGAAAGUUUCGGCGGUUGGGGAUGGACUCGCGGCUUAUCAGCUUGUUGGUGGGGUAGUGGCUUACCAAGGCUUUGACGGGUAGCCGGCCUGAGAGGGUGACCGGCCACAUUGGGACUGGGGUACGGCCCAGACUCCUACGGGAGGCAGCAGUGGGGAAUAUUGCACAAUGGGCGGAAGCCUGAUGCAGCAACGCCGCGUGCGGGAUGACGGCCUUCGGGUUGUAAACCGCUUUCGCCUGUGACGAAGCGUGAGUGACGGUAAUGGGUAAAGAAGCACCGGCUAACUACGU